rnacentral:tRNA from 1 species
UCUCCCUUCGCCUAGCAGGUAGGGCAACGGGCUUUGGUCCCGUCCGGCUUGGUUCGAACCCAAGAGGGAGAUCCA